UACGAAGGGGGCGAGCGUUGUUCGGAAUUACUGGGCGUAAAGGGCGCGUAGGCGGCGACCCAAGUCAGAUGUGAAAGCCCCGGGCUUAACCUGGGAACUGCGUUUGAAACUGGGAGACUUGAGUGUGGCAGAGGGGGGUGGAAUUCCACGUGUAGCAGUGAAAUGCGUAGAUAUGUGGAGGAACACCAAUGGCGAAGGCAGCCCCCUGGGUCAACACUGACGCUCAUGCACGAAAGCGUGGGGAGCAAACAGG
rnacentral:rRNA from 1 species